AGAGAAAAUUGAGUUCUUGCAUUUUCUCGACCAGUCGGUUUUGGUUAUCGAUCCGGUCAGUGGCGAAGUAUUUGUGGCAGGACAGACGAGAAGCUGCUAAACGAAAGUAAAUCUAAGACUUUGCAAAUGCCAGAAAGAAAAUAGAGAAAAACAAAAAAUAUAAUAACGACCGGGCAUCAGCAGCUUUUUAACCAUUUUCGCGUUCAACACGAAUAAUUUCCAAUCGAGAGCCAACCGUCUGUCGACGUUCGAUAUAUUUUUACCUUUGAGUGUUUGCCGUUUACGUGAAAGAGAUUUUCCCUGGUACAAACGCAACAUAUUAUCGGGAACAUAAUCGAUUUAGGGACAUUUUGUGAGUAAAAGUUUCGCAGAUUGUUGUGCGGUCGCGCUUCUGGGAAUCUUUUUAAAACGCGUGUGAUUCAGAACAGUGCAAGCGGAUAUGUAUCCUCACACUUUCAGUGCUUUCUUAGGGGCAAGAUUUGAGCCCCCAAAUCAAUACAACCGAAAUGUUGGAGGCAAUGGAGCAAACGGAGCCAAUAACACAGGGGACGGUUCACAUUUAGUGAAUGGUGGCAGCAAUGCUGCAAACGGUGGAAUGUUCCCAUCAUCGAUAGGCUUCCCAAAUGGUGGCGGUGGCGGCGGUGGUAAUGGGAACGGCAACUAUGGCGGUGGUGAAUUUGUAAGAAAUUCAAAUGGACGCGGUGGCUAUGGAAAUGCAAUGGCCAACGGCAUGAAGGGUCCAAUGAUGCGAAACAUGGGCAGUCGUCCAGCGGGCUUCUACAAUGGCCAGAAAAUUUCGAAUCUGGCCAAUGGCGGAGGUGGUUACAAUGGUGGUGGUGGAUACAUCCCACGUAAACCGGCCAACGGAUUUCCAGCUAAUGGCAAACCAAACGGCAAAGUUUACUAUCAGAACAGCUCGGUACAUCAUAUGAAUGGAAUGGGGGCACCAAAUGGUGGACUCUACGGCCCAACAAUGGGAGUCAAAGCUCCAAUAAACAAAGAAUAUCUCAGCAAGGAGGAGCGCGCUAAACUCCAAAGUGAGAAAGCAAAAAAUCCCGGCAAACUGCUAGUGAAACCAGUCUGGGAGAACCUCCAACCAUUCAAGAAAAACUUCUACGUACCUCCACCAAAUUCCCUAAACCUUACUGAACAGGAUAUCAUUGAAUUGCGUAACAGUCUCCAGAUAACAGUUGUCGGCAACGCUGUACCUAAUCCAUGUUCAUGCUUUGAUGAGAUCUGUUUCCCGGAAUACGUAGUAAACGAAAUGAAAAAGCAAGGCUUCCUUAAGCCUACCGCCAUCCAAUCGCAAGGUUGGCCCAUCGCUCUAUCCGGUCGUGAUUUGGUUGGCAUUGCACAAACAGGAUCCGGAAAAACUCUCGCGUAUAUGCUACCUGCCAUGGUGCACAUAACACACCAGAAGCGCAUUUCCCGCGGUGAUGGUCCUAUUGUUUUGGUCUUGGCUCCAACUCGCGAACUUGCCCAGCAAAUUCAAGCCGUCACUCGCGAUUUUGGAAUUCAAUCUCAACCGCAAAUACGACAUACCUGCGUCUUUGGUGGCUCACCGAAAUUACCACAGGCUCGAGAAUUGGAACGUGGUGUUGAAGUUGUGAUCGCCACGCCAGGACGUCUGAUUGAUUUUCUCGAGAAGGGAAUAACAAAUUUGCAACGCUGUACAUAUCUGGUCUUGGAUGAAGCCGAUCGUAUGUUAGAUAUGGGAUUUGAGCCGCAAAUACGGAAGAUCAUCGAACAGAUUCGCCCUGACCGACAAGUUUUAAUGUGGAGUGCCACUUGGCCUAAGGAAGUUCAAACGCUUGCUGAGGACUUCCUCGCUGAAUAUAUCAAGAUCAAUAUUGGUUCGCUCAAUUUAGCGGCUAAUCACAAUAUUCGGCAAAUCAUCGAUAUAUGCCAAGAGGAAGAGAAGGAAACAAAGAUCGUUAACCUUUUGCAAGAGCUAGCUUCCGACCGCAACAAUAAAAUCAUAAUUUUCGUCGAAACCAAGAAAAAAGUCGAAGACAUCCUGCAAUGCAUUCGCCGGGAAGGACACACAGCUACUUCUAUUCAUGGAGAUAAAUCUCAAGCAGAGCGUGAUUAUGUUUUGCAAGAUUUCCGUUCCGGCAAGUCCUCGAUUCUAGUAGCAACCGACGUUGCAGCUCGUGGACUGGAUGUCGAGGAUGUCAAAUAUGUAAUCAACUAUGACUACCCGAACUCAUCCGAGGAUUACAUUCAUCGUAUUGGCCGAACAGGUCGAUGCCAGCAAUUAGGCACUUCGUACACAUUUUUCACCCACGGCAAUGCCCGACAAGCUCGCGAAUUGAUUGCCGUCCUUGAAGAGGCUGGACAAAGCCCGCCUGCUAAUUUAGUAGAGUUGGCACGAAUGGCUUCAGGUGGAAAGGGUGGCCGAAAUAGUAUGGGCAUGAAUGGAAAACGGUGGAUGGUUCGCCCUACUAAUGGAAUGCAGUCUAAUCAACAUCAAGAUGGACAAAGUAUUGCCAUGAAUGGCGAUGGAAUGAAGAAAAUCUACCCUAAAAAACCCUGGAUGGGUAAAGAUAACUUAGUGGCUGGUGGAAUGGGUGGUCCUGGUAUCAACAACACUCGCACAUGGAAGAAUCAUAACACCAACGGCAAUGUCUGGCAUAACAGCGCCAACAAUGGUGAAGCAUUAGAAGAUCAAGCGAAUGGCAGCAAUUCAAGUGGGGAAAAGCAUCGCCCGCACUACAACCAGGGACGCCGAGAUGGUAAUAUGGUUGGCGGCAUGUCGUCUGGCGGUGGUGUUAUGGGACAUCGUUACAUGAACUACAAUGGAAUGUAUCAACAAAGUAAUGGUUAUAUGGCCGCGAUGCCACCACAGCAUUAUCGAAACAACAACGGAGGAAAUUACUUGCGUCCGGGUCCAGCCAAUUUUUACAAUGGAUACAACAUGCAAACACGUUUUGGCGGACCAGGCGGUGCCAAUAUGGCCGGUGGUUACAAGAAACGAUCCACAGAUUAUCAAAGCAAUUACUAUUCAGGUGGCAAGGAUCGAGGUGAUGCCGCUGAAAAUAAUGGAAUCCGUAAUAACGGCGGUCGUGUCACAUCAACUCCGAACAGUGAUCAGGCACAAAACGUACAAGCAAAUGCAUGUCCAACUGAAGACAUUGCCUCACAGAAUAUCAGUACAACACCAGUGAAUGGACAACCUGUUUACUGUGAGGAUAUCUACGGAAAUAAUAAUGGAGCUAACGGCACAGUUCAAGCAAACAAUGGCACUCAUAAUGCGUCACCACAACCACAAAUUGAAGGAUAUGUAACACCAACUGCAGUCUAUCAACAACAAUCUGUAGGACAACCGAAUAAUGCAGCGGCAACCGUUGUUGCAACCCCACCUAUACAGGCGGCAGCCUAUAUGAUUGACACAACUGGUGUUCAAAACAUAAUGGCUGGACCUUAUGGACAAUAUCCACCAGCAACAUACUAUCAAUAUGCACCACAAACAGCCACUGUUCAGCAGUGAAUUGAUUUAAACAGCGAAUACGGACUUCCGGCAAACCAUACGUUUUUUGUCAAGUCGGCGUAAUUCUAUAUAUUUUACUUGGAAAACAAACUUGGAUUAAUUAUUUCACAGUAUUUAAUAUGCACUUUGCAUCUGAAUCGUUGAGAAUAAGUUGCAUAUUACCAUUUGGAUUCUGCAUUGGGUGAAAAUGAAUUUAUUGGAUUCUGUACUACCGUUAGUGAAGGUUCAAGGCUGUAGAUAUUGAGUUUGUUUGUGUUUUUGAAGUAAUUUACAUAUAAUGUAAUCUAUUAAUAUAACAUCAAGACAAAUUUGGAAAUGUUAUUCUUCAUACCUUAAUAUCUUUAAACAAAACAAAAAAAAAUCAAGAAGAAAUUAUGAUAAAUGUAUUACGAUAAUAUUAUUAGUGACAAAAGGGGAGUAAUAAUGACCAUUUCUAUGUUUUAUUCUAAAGAGGACUUGCCUUCAAAUUUCCCGAAAUGUAACAGUUUUUAUUUUUCUCAUUGCAUUUCUGUGACGAUUCGAAAAACAAACGCAUUUUUUUUAUAAGCGAUCAAAUCAAGACUCGUUCGUUUUGUUAGUGAUAUCUGAAAGAGGAGAAUAUAGUUUAGUUUUUAACUAAGUCAGUCACCAGUUUAUCAACGCCAAUUACAAAUUUAUAAUUUUCAAAUAAUACAAAAGAAAGGAGUAUUGUUGUUUGAGGAAAAUGUGUACGGGGUUCUCUU
rnacentral:misc_RNA from 1 species